GUAGGUGGCAAGUGUUGUCCGGAAUUAUUGGGCGUAAAGCGCGCGCAGGCGGUUCUUUAAGUCUGAUGUGAAAGCCCACGGCUCAACCGUGGAGGGUCAUUGGAAACUGGAGAACUUGAGUACAGAAGAGGAAAGCGGAAUUCCACGUGUAGCGGUGAAAUGCGUAGAGAUGUGGAGGAACACCAGUGGCGAAGGCGGCUUUCUGGUCUGUAACUGACGCUGAGGCGCGAAAGCGUGGGGAGCAAACAGGGAUUAGAUACCCUGGUAGUCCACGCCGUAAACGAUGAGUGCUAAGUGUUAGGGGGGUUUCCGCCCCCUUAGUGCUGCAGCUAACGCAUUAAGCACUCCGCCUGGGGAUACGGCCGCAAGGCUG
rnacentral:rRNA from 1 species